rnacentral:rRNA from 1 species
AGAGUUUGAUCCUGGCUCAGGACGAACGCUGGCGGCGUGCUUAACACAUGCAAGUCUACGAGAAAAGAGUAGCAAUAUUCUGAGUAAAGUGGCGCAAGGGUGCGUAACUCGUAAGCAAUCUACCUUUAGAAGGGGAAUAACCCAGCGAAAGCCGGACUAAUACCCCAUAAUGCAGCGGAACCGCAUGGUUAUGUUGUUAAAGUCUAUAUGACGUCUAGAGAUGAGCUUGCGUCUGAUUAGCUAGUUGGUGAGGUAACGGCCCACCAAGGCUACGAUCAGUAGCUGGUCUGAGAGGAUGAUCAGCCACACUGGAACUGAGACACGGUCCAGACUCCUACGGGAGGCAGCAGUGAGGAAUAUUGGGCAAUGGACGCAAGUCUGACCCAGCAACGCCGCGUGAAGGAUGAAUGUCGUAAGAUUGUAAACUUCUGUGAGAAGGGACGAAAAAACAGGCUCAUACCCUGUUCUGACGGUACCUUCAGAGGAAGCCCCGGCUAACUACGUGCCAGCAGCCGCGGUAAUACGUAGGGGGGCUAGCGUUGUCCGGAUUUACUGGGUGUAAAGGGCGCGUAGGUGGACUUGUCAGUCAGAGGUGAAACCCUGCAGCUUAACUGCAGAACUGCCUUUGAUACUGCAAGCCUUGAGUCUAGAAGAGAAAAGCGGAAUUCCAGGUGUAGUGGUGAAAUACGUAGAUAUCUGGAAGAACACCAGUUGCGAAGGCGGCUUUUUGGUCUAGAACUGACACUGAGGCGC